rnacentral:tRNA from 1 species
AGGGGGAUAGCGUAGUAGUAGAAGCGCUUAAAAGGCCUUGCUUUAUCGGCGAGGUCGUAGGUUUAAAUCCCGCUCCCCUUA